rnacentral:rRNA from 1 species
AAUAGAUACCCGGGUAGUCCUGGCUGUAAACGAUGGGCACUGGAUCGCGUGCUCGCCGAUGGGUGCGCGAUCGCAGCGAAAGCGUCAAGUGCCCCGCCUGGGGAGUAUGGCCGCAAGGCUGAAACUCAAAGGAAUUGACGGGGGCUCACACAAGCGGUGGAGCAUGUGGCUUAAUUCGAGGCUACGCGAAGAACCUUAUCCCGGGCUUGACAUGCACGGAUUAGCCGGCGGAAACGUCGGCGACGCCGCAAGGUGGAACGUGCACAGGUGCUGCAUGGCUGUCGUCAGCUCGUGCCGUGAGGUGUUGGGUUAAGUCCCGUAACGAGCGAAACCCUUGCCCUUAGUUGCCAGCGGGUCGAGCCGGGCACUCUAAGGGGACCGCCGGCGUCAAGCCGGAGGAAGGCGGGGACGACGUCAAGUCAUCAUGGCCCUUAUGCCCGGGGCUGCACACGUGCUACAAUGGGCCGGACAGAGCGUCGCGAGGCCGCAAGGCGGAGCCAAUCGCAAAAACCGGCCCCCAGUUCGGAUC